rnacentral:rRNA from 1 species
UACGGAGGAUCCGAGCGUUAUCCGGAAUCAUUGGGUUUAAAGGGUCCGUAGGCGGGCUUCUAAGUCAGUGGUGAAAGUCUGCAGCUUAACUGUAGAAUUGCCAUUGAUACUGGGAGUCUUGAAUUACUGUGAAGUGGUUAGAAUAUGUAGUGUAGCGGUGAAAUGCUUAGAUAUUACAUGGAAUACCAAUUGCGAAGGCAGAUCACUAACAGUAUAUUGACGCUGAGGGACGAAAGCGUGGGUAGCGAACAGGAUUAGAUA